GGGGCUUUUGCUAGUUUAAAUGUGUAAAUAUAAAACAAAAGGGCAUUCUUGCAAAUUUAGAGAGAGAGAUAGAGAUAAAUUGGCGAGACAAGUGCAAAUCCUUUGGGUCCCCGAGUGUUCUUGGGUCGUGUUCCCAAAUACCAUCACAUACUUUCUUCUCCUUGGGAUGUCCGCAACCAUCUCUCUCUCUCUCUUUUUCUCUCGACUUUCCCUGUUGCCUCUCUUUAAUUGACAAUCACAUAUCAUUGACUCAACUUAUGAUAGAGGACUGUAUCUCUUGCAAGCCUUCCUCCUCUUUUUCUCGCUCACAUUCAUAAUGAACUGAAAUGAGUUAUACUUGGGUAGUUUUGGAGUAGUUUCAAUUUUCAACUAAAUACUUAGAAAUAUACCUGAAUUUCUGCAAUGGCCUCAAUAAUCACUUUACUCAUUUUGGAACCUAGUAGAGACACCUUUCUAGCUUGUGGAGAGUUGAAUUGAUUAGAAUAUGGAAGAUGGGGACUACUAAACAAAAGGAACUGAAGGAGAAAGAGUUAUAUAAUCAUAUAUUUUUUUUUACAGCAGUAUAUAUUGAACUGUAAAAUUUUCUCUGACCCGGAGACUGUUUAAGAGUGUCAGCAUGGUUUAGUUGUUUGAGCUCAGGGUUGCCUCUGCCAAAAUGGCUUGGGCCUAUUUGGCUUGGCUCCCCUUUGCUAUAUUUUCACUUUCAAAUUCUUGUUAUUUUCCGAUGUAGGACUGCAACAUAAACAUUUGUUAUGUUUCUGUUAACAGGUGAUCUCCUGAAGCUUUUGGAUGUUUCAUCUGCAGAAAGUGUCUCGUUGACUACAUUUGGUAAAUUGCAACCGCCUCUGGGAAAGCAUCGUUUGA
rnacentral:misc_RNA from 1 species